rnacentral:lncRNA from 13 species
AUGAAUCAUUCUGGGAGAAAAAAAAAAGGAGUACAUUUGUGUUUCAAAGCAUCUCUAAACCCAUCAUUUUCUAAAAUUCCUUACUGCCUGAAAAGCUGCUGGAGCCAUUUAUUCAACAAGCAGGUAGUGACACCUACUCCAUGCAAGUCUCUAAGAACUCCCUGUAUCAAAACCAUGAAGUGUUUUUAUUUCAAUGUACGGGAAUGCUUGCCCAGAAGUCAUUAUUUUAUAAAUCUCACCCCAUCCAGAAGAGAGCUCCAACUGGAAAAGGAAGACAAUGCCAAUGAGCAGUCAAAAUCGGCAUAUCACAGAGUCUGUAUAUUUCAACUUGAGUGCUUUCCUCAUAGGGGACCUUCAGAGUCCCUCAUUCAAAGCCUAUUCAUAUUUAUUUUUAUUUUAUUUAUUUUAUUUUUGAGACAGAGUUUUUGCUCUUGUUGCCCAGGCUGGAGUGCAGUGGCACAAUCUCGUCUCACUGCAACCUCUGCCUCCUGGGUUCAAGAGAUUCUCCUGCCUCAGCCUCCCAAGUGGCUGGGAUUGCAGGUACAUGCCACCAUGCCCAACUAAAGUUUUGUUUUUUGUUUUUUGUUUUUUGUUUUUUUGUAUUUUUAGUGGAGACAGGGCUUCACCAUGUUGGCCAGGCUGGUCUCAAACUCCUGACCUCAGGUGAUCCACCUGCCUCGGCCUUCUAAAGUGCUGGGAUUACAGGCGUGAGCCUCCGCACCCAGCCUAUUCAUGUUUAUUUUUGACGCGAUUCUAACCAGUCUAAUUCUCCCAUUUCCCAGCCUGCAGUAGAUUAGAGGCAGCAAAUGGGAAGGGAGAGUAGUGUUUGCAGCGGGAACACUGAACACAAUGGGAAUAUCCACCAACAGCAAAUUUUGCAGAGGGAUAAAAAACAAAACAACUAACUCAAAAACGCAUCAGAUUCCGGGGUCACUUUGCUUGGACACAAGUAACUGCAACAUCAAGUGCUCUUGAGGGCAUGAAUGCAGUAGAAUGCAGUGUGACGGUGGAUAUCCAGGAAGUGACCCUCGAAAGAGUACAUUGCAUUUCGUUUAAGAAGGCGAGAAGCACAUAACUCAUUUGAGAGAUAACAUAAAACAAACUCAGAUAAUUACAUAUGUGUCACCUUAUUCCUUUACAGUAAGGGAGAAGUCACUGCAAUUUUAUAGUCAAUUGUUGUACCACUGAGCUCUAUUCCCCAACACCGUAAUGUUGAAGGGCAAAACGACCCCCAUGUGAAAACAAUGCAAGCAAUGUUGACUUUCCUUCGUUCACUUCUUAAAGCUCUCUAAGGUUUGCUGAAGGAAUACAGAACUGAGCAUGAGUGUAUUUUCAUCCCUAGGUAUUUUGUGUUGGUUCCCUGGAAACACAGGUAAAGAAAUGAAAAGCAGAGAUGAAAUGACUCACCCAAGAUCCUUCAGCAAAACCAUUAGCCCAGGCAAGAAAAGAAGACCCAGAAGGAGGGAGUGCCUGGUAGGUGGUGGGCACUCACUAAUAUUCACAAAAGGAGGGGAGAAAAUAGAAAGACUAUUGGUUAUUUGCGAGAAAGCAUUUGUUCUAAGAGUUUGCCAAGUCUCUCAGCUAUAAUAGAAGAAAAGACCUGUGGUCACAGGGUCACAGAUGGCUAUAAGUGGCUCUGGAACCCAAUGUGAUCCAAAUGAAAGAAACAUUCUCCAAGGAAUGAAGCAAUGGCUGGAACACCCCUGCUCCCCACAAUGAGCAAGGAGGGAUGGCAUUUAGGAACUGGAGAUGUUAAUAUGAAGUGUUUUGAGUAACUCCUAAAUACUACUACUUAGUUCUUCUGUGGCACUUUCCCACCUCAAAAGCGCUUUACAAACAUUAACUAAUUAAAUCAGCAUGACUUCGGGAAGGGAAAAUUGAGCCUCUUUAAUCUGUUUGAAUUCUCAGAAAAAGCUAAUAAAAUUAAGGUGUAAUGUUCA